CAUUAGAGUGUUCAACGCAGGCAGAUUCACUUUUCUGCCACCGAAUACAUUAGCAUGGGAUAAUGGAAUAGGACCCUGUCCUCCUUUUUUCAGUUGGUUAAUUCAUGAGAGAGGAACAGGGUAAUGAUUAAUAGGGAUAGUUGGGGGCAUUAAUAUUUAAUUGUCAGAGGUGAAAUUCUUGGAUUUAUGAAAGAUUAACUUCUGCGAAAGCAUCUGCCAAGGAUGUUUUCAUUAAUCAAGAACGAAAGUUAGGGGAUCGAAGACGAUCAGAUACCGUCGUAGUCUUAACCAUAAACGAUGCCGACCAGCGAUUAGGAGACGUUGAAUACAAAACACCUCUAUAUAUAAUUCAGUAUAUGGCUAGCAAUGGCUGUAUAUUGUUUGUGUAUAGUUACGGUGAAUGACUCCCCUAGAGCUUGUGAGACCAA
rnacentral:rRNA from 1 species